rnacentral:rRNA from 1 species
AGUGAACGCUGGCGGUAGGCCUAACACAUGCAAGUCGAACGGCAGCACAGUAAGAGCUUGCUCUUACGGGUGGCGAGUGGCGGACGGGUGAGGAAUACAUCGGAAUCUACUUUUUCGUGGGGGAUAACGUAGGGAAACUUACGCUAAUACCGCAUACGACCUACGUGUGAAAGCAGGGGAUCUUCGGACCUUGCGCGAUUGAAUGAGCCGAUGUCGGAUUAGCUAGUUGGCGGGGUAAAGGCCCACCAAGGCGACGAUCCGUAGCUGGUCUGAGAGGAUGAUCAGCCACACUGGAACUGAGACACGGUACAGACUCCUACGGGAGGCAGCAGUGGGGAAUAUUGGACAAUGGGCGCAAGCCUGAUCCAGCCAUACCGCGUGGGUGAAGAAGGCCUUCGGGUUGUAAAGCCCUUUUGUUGGGAAAGAAAAGCAGCAGGUUAAUACCCCGCUGUUCUGACGGUACCCAAAGAAUAAGCACCGGCUAACUUCGUG